AUGAAAGCAGGCAUGUCGUCUGGAGCGGGUGAGACGAAGUAUGGCGCAGGCAUGAGCAGGAGCCCACUCCAGCCUCAGCCACAACCCAUCGUUGCCGCCCGCCUGACUAUUGCCCACCAAGGUGGAGCUUCCUACUACUCUGCACCACGCCCGUCCGGGCCCGUGGCCGGCACUGAGCAGGCGCACGCCAUAGGUGUGAGCUAUAAGCCACCCAAGAGGAAGCGUGGCCGCCCGCGAAAGUACACCCCGGAUGGCACCCUGCCGCCAACUAUCUUUCCGGCGCCAUAUCCUACUGGCGCCGCUGCUUUGCUGGCACCUGCUCUGCCGUCGAGCUCCACGUUGGGACUGCGCCUGGGCGUGGGGAGCCCCCAUGCGCUACCAGCACUGCCAUCACCGCUACCACCACCACCACCACCUGUAGAGCAUGGAACACAUCCAGUCAAGCAGACGAGGGUAUGGCCGCCGAGCUCCAUGGCCAGCAAGAAGCAGCGACAGAUGGCAGUAGCAGGGCCUGCUGCGACUGGAUUAAUUCCUAAGGUUAUCACAGUCCAAGGUGGAGAGGAUGUAACAACAAAAGUCCUCUCCUAUUGUGGGAAUGGGUUGGCAGUUCAUAUCUUUUGUGCCAAUGGUGUUGUGCGCAAUGUGACACUGCGGCAGGCAAAUUCUCCUCAUGAAAGAGUCGUUUAUCAGGGUUGUUUUCACAUCCUCUCUUUGUCUGGCUUGUAUGUGCCAUCGAAAACUAAUGGACUGAGCACUCAAAAGGGUGGAUUGGGUAUUUUGUUUUCCAGUCCCGAUGGCCGUGUCUUCGGUGGUGGGUCAGCAGGACCUCUGAUUGCAGCUUCACCUGUUCAGGUGGAAUCAAAUAUACCACACGCGCAUGAAAAAUCGAAAAUGCAGCAAGCCGUGUCCAGGCGCAUUAACCUCACCAUGCUCAGAACUCUGGUCUCGGUUUCUUACUGUCAGGAGAACAAACCAAGUUUAGCUUGGCUAGCAGAAACACAACAACUACUGGGUUUUCCUAAACCCGUAUGUCAACGGAAGGAACUGAAUUCUAAUGUCAUCGUGUCCGGGGUGGCGACACUUUUGAAGGCGACUUCUAGGGGUCCCGGCUCUGGUACUGCAACAAGUCUAAAUGAGAUGAUCAAAAAAGAAAGCAGAGGUGCAAAACCUCAUUCUUCCCCAUUCUUCCUCUUCUCCGGCGAGCUAGUGCAGAUGUCCACCUCCUCCUCCAUGCACUCAAAAUGGCGUCAGUAUAGUCCAGUGCCGCUCACAAGGUGCCCUGACUGCCCACGCCCAGAGCCUCUGAAACUGUGGGUGAGUAGGACUGAUGAGAAUGGAAAUCUUGGGCGAGAAUUUGUGAAGUGCUUGAGCAAAACAAUGGUAGGAAGGGAUGGCAAGAUCUUUAAGAAAUGCACGCAUUUCGAGUGGAUGGAUGAUUAUGUUGAGAGGAUUCAGUUCGAGGGCUACAUUGAUUCGAGCGGGGCCGCAACCUGGGAGCUCAAUUUGGGGGGUGGGGUGCCGCAGAUGGAGAAUUUGGGGUCGAGCUCGGACAGAGGGGCGGGCAGAGUCGUGCCGAUGGCGAGGUAUGCGCGCAAUGCUGAACUGCACUUGGAGUCUGAACUAAUCGAGGAACUGAAGAACAUCAAGAAAAAUCAAAUGGAUAUGAUCGAUUUGCAGAAGCAAGCAAAUAUCAUGGCAGGUUAA
rnacentral:rRNA from 1 species